rnacentral:lncRNA from 1 species
CAGUUCCAUCCCCCAGCACCACCGCUCCGACGCCCAUGGAGCUGGGAGGUGCUGCGCUUAGGGCGAACAGAGGAGGGGCCGUUCCCUGUACCACCUGUGGCCGCAGAGGGCACACUGCUGGUCGGUGCUGGGGAGGUUCUUCUGGGAGUCGAGACACUCUUGUGUCACCCCAGGCCGGUGGUGGCUGGUCCACUCCAGGAGUCUGAGGUGUGUGAGGUUCCUCCGCCCCCUCUAGACAUUGAGGGGGCCCCGGCGUAUGCUGUUCGAGCCAUACUGGACUCAAGGCGUCGGGCGAGGGGCCUUCAGUACCUCGUGGGGUAAAGUUCAUUGUGUUACUCAUCUCUGCUGUCCUGCGCCUGACUCCUCUGCACCAGCUACACCCAGAACCUUACACCUCCCCCAUAUUCAUUUCCUGUUUUCCUCUCCCAACUUCAUUCUUUAUUAAGGACAUAGAUAUCUUUGUGAGAAAUGUCAUUGUGAACGACUGUAAUUAAUUGACUGUUUGGUACCAAAUCAAUAAUUAUCUGGGCACAACUUAUAAUUUUAAUUAUCGCCUAUUUGAAAUAACAUUUUAUUUUAUCUGGCUCUAUGUCCUUUACAUUUGUUUACAGCGUUGAAAACCUACGGUGUACAAUAGGACACCAAACCAAGCUCCCACUCUUUAUUGAAACCACUUUCAUGUCCAGGGUAAGCCUGAAUGGUGUCCUCACUAUAUGAUAGGCUAGUGACUCAUAACAUAAAACAUCUACCUGUUAUGGAGAUCUGGGAGAAGGACCUACAAAGUGCAGCGUUUUAAUGGGAUUGGAAGACAAUAUGGGGAAAUAUUGUUGCCUCUUCUAAGAGUAUUGCCCAUCAACUUAUUCAUUUCAAAUUUCCUCAAAGGUUUUAUUAACCCUCCUGCUGUGUUCCGGUCGAAAUGGACCGAUUUACAAGUUUUCUUUCUGAAAAAUGUAGUUCAUUUAAUCUGAUUGUCUAUUAGAUUCCAUGACUUUGUCCACACAGGGCAUCUGAACACACAAAAUACAUUUUGAUGAUUUUCAUAACAUUUUGGGUGUUUUAUUUAACUUUUGUACACCUGUGGUGUUCCCGGUCAAUAAUGACCGGUCAUUAGAAAUGAAUAGGUGAGAAUACAAUUAGUGUAUAAAAUUGAGUUCAGGCACAUGCCCAUUCAUCAGAUAGACACACUUCCUCUCCCAGACCCCCACAUGCAUGUGUGUUUGAACACACACACACACACACACACACACACACACACACACACACACACACACACACCAUGGCUUCCAUGGCAACCCCCACGGGAACAUUUCCCCAAUAGAAUCUUUCCCCCACGGGAACCACACCUGUUGGCAUUCUCACAAACAAUCGCAACAUUGUUUCAAUAAUAUAUAGAACAUUUCUUGCAGCUCUGGAAUAUAAAGCUUUUUUGAGGCCUUGCUCACAAUUCAUUCUGUGGCAGCACAAUGACCAAAAUAUAUACUAUAUGUGAGGCUCUUGAUCAUAUCUUUGAUCAUGACACUGGUGAGGAGGAAAAAGUCCUGGUUAAACUUUGACACAAAGUAGUCUGUGAUAAAUAGCACAAUAUGUUUCAUCUGAGUAUUUGUUAUAGUCAGA